rnacentral:rRNA from 1 species
AGUGAACGCUGGCGGUAGGCCUAACACAUGCAAGUCGAACGGCAGCACAGGAGAGCUUGCUCUCUGGGUGGCGAGUGGCGGACGGGUGAGGAAUACAUCGGAAUCUACUCUGUCGUGGGGGAUAACGUAGGGAAACUUACGCUAAUACCGCAUACGGCCUACGGGUGAAAGCAGGGGACCUUCGGGCCUUGCGCGAUUGAAUGAGCCGAUGUCGGAUUAGCUAGUUGGCGGGGUAAAGGCCCACCAAGGCGACGAUCCGUAGCUGGUCUGAGAGGAUGAUCAGCCACACUGGAACUGAGACACGGUCCAGACUCCUACGGGAGGCAGCAGUAGGGAAUAUUGGACAAUGGGCGCAAGCCUGAUCCAGCCAUACCGCGUGGGUGAAGAAGGCCUUCGGGUUGUAAAGCCCUUUUGUUGGGAAAGAAAUCCAGCUGGCUAAUACCCGGUUGGGAUGACGGUACCCAAAGAAUAAGCACCGGCUAACUUCGUGCCAGCCGCCGCAGUAA